AAUCCUUAUUGAGUUGUUAUUUGCUUGAUUUUUUUCUGUGUUCUGUAAAGAAGUUUGGCAAUGCAGCAGUAUAGCCACUUUAAACAAAAAUGGGAAAUUUACUAUUAAGUUAGAUCUCCAGCACUCAAAAUAUGUUACUUUAUGAACAUAUAUAGAGCUAAUGUUACAACUUGAAAAAAGGAGAGAAAAACAAAAGAACAAGAAAAACAUAUUGGUAAAAAAGUCUUGCAUUGCAAGACUUUAAAAAAUAUUUUGGAGGGUUUUAAAAAUAUUUUGAUCUGUCAUACAUUUUCUGCUUUAGGAGAGGGUAGUAUAAUAAGAUCUUCCAGCAACUCUUCAAGAAGUGUGAGAAGGACUAGAGUACAAGCUAUGUCACAUCACUUUCCCUUUUAUUUUCCAGGGUGUUGAUCUUCUGCAAGAAAUGGUCCCUCCACUCAGGCCUCAAGGAUAGUUGCUGAACUUGUGAAAGCCUGUGACAGUCACCCUCACACAGCCUUGCUAAGCAUUUAGAGUGCAUUUUGUGACCUUGUGAUGUGUGGGAGACACACAGGAAAUGUGUUUUGGUCCAGCCUGCCUGAAACACACCUAAAACUGCAACAAAACAUUUGCAAGGUAAACAACACACAAAGUAUGAAUAUCACUAGAUGAUUUGGACAUAAUUUAUGCAUAUAAUUAACUUCUUGCUGGCAGCACUACCAUAUAAAAUGAGACAACAUUCAACACAUUCAAGGCAUCGUCGUUGUAUACCCUAAAAUUAAAUUACAAAGAUAGUUAUCCUCAGAAUAAUUAUAUCAAAGUUUCACUGGCACUUUGGACAGGUCUGUGAUAACACUUCAGCUUAAUAUAGUGACCAAUUUAAACUAAACAUUUGUUUAACAUAUUGUUGUGCAAUAUGGAUUUAAUAGCAGUUUAGAUCUGUAAUCUUGGUGUUUCUCUGUAACCUUUCAUUGUCAUUUACCUAAACUAUCUAAGCAUUAAGUCUGUAGGACUGACCAGUAUACCAAGGUCAAGUCUGUAAGAAAAAAACCAGAAGUCUCUUUAUUAACAACUUCUUUGAAAUGUGCUGUAA
rnacentral:lncRNA from 1 species